UACGUAGGGGGCAAGCGUUGUCCGGAAUCAUUGGGCGUAAAGCGCGUGUAGGCGGUUCGAUAAGUCUGCUGUGAAAGUCCAGGGCUCAACCCUGGAAAGCCGGUGGAUACUGUCGGACUAGAGUGCGGAAGAGGCGAGUGGAAUUCCCGGUGUAGCGGUGAAAUGCGCAGAUAUCGGGAGGAACACCAGUAGCGAAGGCGACACUCUGGGCCGGUACUGACGCUGAGGAGCGAAAGCGUGGGGAGCAAACAGG
rnacentral:rRNA from 1 species